UACAGAGGGUGCGAUCGUUAAUCGGAAUUACUGGGCGUAAAGCGUGCGUAGACGGUUAUUUAAGUCGGGUGUGAAAGCCCCGGGCUCAACCUGGGAAUUGCAUUCGAGACUGAAUAGCUAGGGUACGGUAGAGGGAAGCGGAAUUUCCGGUGUAGCGGUGAAAUGCGUAGAUAUCGAGAGGAACACCAGUGGCGAAGGCGGCUCACUGGGCUCCACCUGACGCUGAGGCGCGAAAGCGUGGGGAGCGAACCGG
rnacentral:rRNA from 1 species